rnacentral:rRNA from 1 species
GACGAACGCUGGCGGCGUGCUUAACACAUGCAAGUCGAACGGAAAGGCCCUGCUUUUGUGGUGUGCUCGAGUGGCGAACGGGUGAGUAACACGUGAGUAACCUGCCCUUGACUUUGGGAUAACUUCAGGAAACUGGGGCUAAUACCGGAUAGGAGCUCCUGCUGCAUGGUGGGGGUUGGAAAGUUUCGGCGGUUGGGGAUGGACUCGCGGCUUAUCAGCUUGUUGUUGGGGUAGUGGCUUACCAAGGCUUUGACGGGUAGCCGGACUGAGAGGGUGACCGGCCACAUUGGGACUGAGAUACGGCCCAGACUCCUACGGGAGGCAGCAGUGGGGAAUAUUGCACAAUGGGCGGAAGCCUGAUGUAGCAACGCCGCGUGCGGGAUGACGGCCUUCGGGUUGUAAACCGCUUUCGCCUGUGACGAAGCGUGAGUGACGGUAAUGGGUAAAGAAGCACCGGCUAACUACGUG